rnacentral:rRNA from 1 species
CUGGUGCCAGCAGCCGCGGUAAUUCCAGCUCCAAUAGCGUAUAUUAAAGUUGUUGCAGUUAAAAAGCUCGUAGUUGAAUUUCGGGGUUAGUAGGUUGGUCAUGCCUCCGGUAUGUACUGAUCUUACUGAUUCCUCCUUCCUGAUGAACCGUAAUGCCAUUAAUUUGGUGUUGCGGGGAAACUGGACUGUUACUUUGAAAAAAUUAGAGUGUUUAAAGCAAGCUAACGCUUGAAUACAUUAGCAUGGAAUAAUGAAAUAGGACGUUCGAUCCUAUUUUGUUGGUUUCUAGGAUUGACGUAAUGAUUAAUAGGGAUAGUUGGGGGCAUUAGUAUUCAAUUGUCAGAGGUGAAAUUCUUGGAUUUAUUGAAGACUAACUACUGCGAAAGCAUUUGCCAAGGAUGUUUUCAUUAAUCAAGAACGAAAGUUAGGGGAUCGAAGACGAUCAGAUACCGUCGUAGUCUUAACCAUAAACUAUGCCGACUAGGGAUCGGAUGAUGUUAAUUUUUUAAUGACUCAUUCGGCG